UACGGGGGGGGCAAGCGUUGUUCGGAAUCCCUGGGCUUAAAGGGCGCGUAGGCGGGCUGUCAAGUCUGGGGUGAAAUCCCACGGCUCAACCGUGGAACUGCCUCAGAUACUGACGGCCUCGAGGGAGAUAGGGGCGAGCGGAACUGUGAGUGGAGCGGUGAAAUGCGUUGAUAUUCACAGGAACUCCGGUGGCGAAGGCGGCUCGCUGGAUCUCUUCUGACGCUGAGGCGCGAAAGCGUGGGGAGCGAACAGG
rnacentral:rRNA from 1 species